UUCAGGCAGCUCCAGUAGAUGGUCCUCAACAGAGCGAGCAGACAGAACACGAUGGACAGAACCCACGCCGCGUAGAUGCCUUUGGAGACCCGGGCCUGCUUCCACGUUCCAACCUGCCGCCAAGAAACAACAUUUCUUCACGAGGACAGCACGCCGUUGAAACCCCAAGACCCUCCCUAUGGGGUCUUUUGUGUGUUAAAUAGGCAGGAUGUGCCGCUUAUGCCUCUGCAAA